AAAAGGGUUUAAAUAAACAUAAGCAAAUAGAGUCCCAAUUAUUUCAAGGCAAGACAGAGAACACUACCUACUUUUACCUCAUCUGCAUCAUGCCAACUUAUGAAUGGUUUUCAUGUCAGCAGCCUCCUGAAGAGUGCCUUUCUCAACAUGCUCCCACCAUUUAAGCAGGAAAUUAUCGACCACCAGCCGAAACCAUGGAGACAACUUCACACCUUCUUCGCCAGCAUCGGCCCUCCUCAACAAUUCCUUUAACUGAUCUCGGUUGACA
rnacentral:misc_RNA from 1 species